rnacentral:rRNA from 1 species
UCAGACGAUGCGUCAUGCAUAUCAAUAAGCGGAGGAAAAGAAACUAACAAGGAUUCCCUCAGUAACGGCGAGUGAAGCGGGAAGAGCUCAAAUUUGAAAUCUUGAAAGGUCACCUUUCACGAAUUGUAGUUUAAAGAAGUGUUUUCUGUUACGAUCGUAAUAUAAGUUCUUUGGAAUAGGACAUCACAGAGGGUGAGAAUCCCGUCUAUGAUUGCGAUUUGUAGCUUUGUGAUACACUUUCAAAGAGUCGAGGUUGUUUGGGAAUGCAGCCCAAAACGGGAGGUAAAUUUCUUCUAAGGCUAAAUAUUGGCGAGAGACCGAUAGCGAACAAGUACCGUGAGGGAAAGAUGAAAAGAACUUUGAAAAGAGAGUUAAAUAGUACGUGAAAUUGUCAAAAGGGAAGCGUUUAACACCAGUGUUGUUUUCUGAAAAUCAACCUCUGUUAGCUUUAUGCAUGUUUGUUUAGACCUAAUCAGCUAUCUUGCAUGUUCUAUUGUUUGCAGUGGUGCACUUUUCAGUUUACAGGUCAACAUCAGUUUUUUUUACCGUAAAAAAGUUAAAGAAAGGUAGCUCAUGGCUCCGGUCGUGAGUGUUAUAGUCUUUUUCCUAUGCGGUAGGAGAGACUGAGGUCUGCAGUGUAGGCUAUUUGGCUAGAUACUCAGGUGCUAUGUGAUACCAUUUCAUAAACAACCUGUUGAUUAUGUUUUGUCUAUUGCAUACUCGCUUGUACUAUCAUACCUACGCUUAGGAUGUUGAAGACUCUACAGAGAUA